rnacentral:rRNA from 1 species
GACGUAGGGCGCGAGCGUUGUCCGGAUUUAUUGGGCGUAAAGCGCACGUAGGCGGCUUUGUAAGUUAGAGGUGAAAGCCCGGAGCUCAACUCCGGAACUGCCUUUAAGACUGCAUCGCUUGAAUCCAGGAGAGGUGAGUGGAAUUCCGAGUGUAGAGGUGAAAUUCGUAGAUAUUCGGAAGAACACCAGUGGCGAAGGCGGCUCACUGGACUGGUAUUGACGCUGAGGUGCG